UACAGAGGUCUCAAGCGUUGUUCGGAUUCAUUGGGCGUAAAGGGUGCGUAGGCGGCGCGGUAAGUCGGGUGUGAAAUCUCGGAGCUUAACUCCGAAACUGCAUUCGAUACUGCUCUGCUAGAGGACUGGAGAGGAGAUUGGAAUUCACGGUGUAGCAGUGAAAUGCGUAGAUAUCGUGAGGAAGACCGGUGGCGAAGGCGGAUCUCUGGACAGUUCCUGACGCUGAGGCGCGAAGGCCAGGGGAGCAAACGGG
rnacentral:rRNA from 1 species